UACGAAGGGGGCGAGCGUUGUUCGGAAUUACUGGGCGUAAAGGGCGCGUAGGCGGCGAUCCUAGUCAGAUGUGAAAGUCCUGGGCUUAACCUGGGGACUGCAUUUGAUACUGGAUUGCUUGAAUUCGGGAGAGGAUAGCGGAAUUCCCAGUGUAGAGGUGAAAUUCGUAGAUAUUGGGAAGAACACCGGUGGCGAAGGCGGCUAUCUGGACCGACAUUGACGCUGAGGCGCGAAAGCGGUGGGGAGCAAACAGG
rnacentral:rRNA from 1 species